CCUGGGUGGGUGGCCUCAUAGUCUGAUUGUGUAUUGAAUCUCUGACUAGAGUUCCACUCAUCCAGGAC